UACGUAGGGGGCAAGCGUUGUCCGGAAUCAUUGGGCGUAAAGAGCGUGUAGGCGGCCAAGCAAGUCGGAUGUGAAAGCCCUCGGCUCAACCGGGGAAGUGCACUCGAAACUGCAUGGCUAGAGUCUCGGAGAGGAUCGUGGAAUUCUCGGUGUAGAGGUGAAAUUCGUAGAUAUCGAGAGGAACACCGGUGGCGAAGGCGGCGAUCUGGACGAUGACUGACGCUGAAACGCGAAAGCGUGGGGAGCAAACAGG
rnacentral:rRNA from 1 species